GACGAACGCUGGCGGCGUGCUUAACACAUGCAAGUCGAACGGAAAGGCCCUGCUUUUGUGGGGUGCUCGAGUGGCGAACGGGUGAGUAACACGGGAGUAUCCUGCCCUUGACUUUGGGAUAACUUCAGGAAACUGGGGCUAAUACCGGCUAGGAGCUCCUGCUGCAUGGUGGGGGUUGGAAAGUUUCGGCGGUUGGGGAUGGACGGGCGGCUUAUCAGCUUGUUGGUGGGGUAGUGGCUUACCAAGGCUUUGACGGGUAGCCGGCAUGAGAGGGGGACCGGCGACAUUGGGACUACGAGACGGACCAGACUCCUACGGGAGGCAGCAGUGGAGAAUAUUGCACAAUGGGCGGAAGCCUGAUGCGGCAGCGCCGCGUGCGGGAUGACGGCCUUCGGGUUGUAAACCGCUUUAGCCUGUGACGAAGCGUGAGUGACGGUAAUGGGUAAAGAAGCACCGGCUAACUACGUG
rnacentral:rRNA from 1 species